CGGAGGGUGCAAGCGUUAUCCGGAUUCACUGGGUUUAAAGGGUGCGUAGGCGGGUAUGUAAGUCAGCGGUGAAAUCCCCGAGCUUAACUUGGGAACUGCCGUUGAUACUAUAUAUCUUGAAUGUCGUGGAGGUUAGCGGAAUAUGUCAUGUAGCGGUGAAAUGCUUAGAUAUGACAUAGAACACCCAUUGCGAAGGCAGCUAACUACGCGAAUAUUGACGCUGAGGCACGAAAGCGUGGGGAUCAAACAGGAUUAGAUACCCUGGUAGUCCACGCCCUAAACGAUGAUUACUCGACACUGGCGAUACACUGUCAGUGUCUGAGCGAAAGCAUUAAGUAAUCCACCUGGGAAGUACGACCGCAAGGUUG
rnacentral:rRNA from 1 species